GAACCUGGUUCCUCUUGCCUGAUUCCAAGCUGAGGUAGUAGUUUGUACAGUUUGAGGGUCUAUGAUACCACCCGGUACAGGAGAUUAACUGUACAGGCCACUGCCUUGCCUGGGACAGAGCACUGUCAGCUGAAAGAAU
rnacentral:precursor_RNA from 14 species